rnacentral:tRNA from 1 species
GUCCCCGUGGUGUAGCGGCAGCAUGGCAGGUUCUCACCCUGUCGGUAGGGGUUCAACUCCCCUCGGGGGUA